UACGUAGGGUGCGAGCGUUAAUCGGAAUUACUGGGCGUAAAGUGUGCGCAGGCGGCUUCGCAAGUCGAGUGUGAAAUCCCCGAGCUUAACUUGGGAAUUGCGCUCGAAACUACGGAGCUGGAGUGUGGCAGAGGAAGGUGGAAUUCCUGGUGUAGCGGUGAAAUGCGCAGAUAUCAGGAGGAACACCAAUGGCGAAGGCAGCUCGCUGGGACGUGACUGACGCUGAGACGCGAAAGCGUGGGGAGCAAACAGG
rnacentral:rRNA from 1 species